AACCCAUCUGCUUUGAAAUAGGCUUUAGGAUGCGAGAUCUUGGUCCUUGUGGUUUCUAACCCUGGACGCCCCCCAAUUCUAAAGACCCUGAUUACACAUACCUGACGUAGAUAGCUAACCAAGGACGACGAAAUAGCUGACUAUCGGGCUUUAUCAUAUCAUCAGUCCCUGUAGAAACUAGUAUCAUCCCAUGUAGCCCUCAGCAAUCAACUUUCCAAACGGAUUUUUAGCUAUCAAGAGAAUCGUAGUAUUAUUGAACGAAAUAGUUAUCUGUGAUGAUAACACGCGUCCUAAUCUCUCGUCCCGGAGAUCCUGCCACCGCGCCAAUUUGCCGUCGCUGCGAUUGGUAUGGCAUUCUUAGAGCUACACCAGCAUAGGUGAAGUGGCAUCGCGAGGAGCGAUGUGCGACGGCUCAGGCAUCAAGGAUGUGAUAUUAGAUAGCCGUUCGGUGACUUCUGCCGGCGUAGGAUCGAUUACACAGGCGAGGGCGGGAUAAGACAGCACCAUCCCUGGAAGGGGGG
rnacentral:sRNA from 2 species